rnacentral:rRNA from 1 species
CCAAUAGCGUAUAUUAAAGUUGUUGCAGUUAAAAAGCUCGUAGUUGAAUUUCGGGAUCAAGGAAUCGGUCAUGCCUUGGUAUGUACUGGUUUUAUUGGUUCUCACCUUCUAAAGAACCAUAAUGUCAUUCAUUUGAUGUUAUGGGGAAUUAGGACUGUUACCUUGAAAAAAUUAGAGUGUUUAAAGCAGGCUUACGCUUGAAUACAUUAGCAUGGAAUAAUGAAAUAGGACAUCAGAUUCUAUUUUGUUGGUUUCUAGGACCGAUGUAAUGAUUAAUAGGGAUAGUUGGGGGCAUUAGUAUUCAAUUGUCAGAGGUGAAAUUCUUGGAUUUAUUGAAGACUAACUACUGCGAAAGCAUUUGCCAAGGAUGUUUUCAUUAAUCAAGAACGAAAGUUAGGGGAUCGAAGACGAUCAGAUACCGUCGUAGUCUUAACCAUAAACUAUGCCGACUAGGGAUCGGAUGAUGUUAAUUUUAUAAUGACUCAUUCGGCACCUUAC